rnacentral:piRNA from 1 species
UUCAAACUUGUCAGAAGACCGAGAGAUC